AAUAUAUGUUUGUUAAGUACUUUUGCUAAAUAGAAUCAAGCAGUGCAUCGUUUUAAAUACGAGUAAGUUAGCAUGUAGGCUACACUGUUUAAACAUGUCUGGCAGCGGAUGUAGUAAAACUCGCAAGCUCUAGAUGUCCUGCCCAGUUUGUGAAAUAUAAUUUAUGUGUUUGAAACCGUAGUAGAGUGUGUAUUUAUUCACGUAGUUUAAAUGUUUAGCUGUCAGUUCUGUGUGAUAUCAGUGCAAAUCCUUAGGUAGCAUGUUUUACAUAACAAACUUCACCUUAAACCACGGUGCGUGUUCAAGUGUGCAUUUUUACCGUAAACAAAAUAGAUUCACGUGUUGCUACUCCACAUGCCCUUGCUGUCACAAAACUAGAAGUUUUGAGAGUACAGAAAUGGUUGCUCAGAGGAUGUGAAAGGCAUGAUUCUUCUACCUCUCUCCUGUUUUGAUGAGAAAGAGGAGCUCCUCCAUUAUGUAGAAGAGACAAGCCUGGCAAAGGAUGUGGAGUUAGAAAACCUGCCUGUGACGCCUUGCAUUAUUGUGUGUGUGGACCCUCCUGCUAUGCUGCUGUCCGAUUCAUGCUAGCUGUGGACCGCAAGAUUGUGAAUGAUGACAUCACUUCUUUCAUCUCUGCUGUUUGCCUAAUGUUCUGCAGUUAUUACUGCUCCAAAAUUAACUACCCUACUGAACUGGCGUCAGUGCUUGAAUUCCUGCAAAGGUGUUUUUUUCAUCAUCAAUCCGGAGAAAGGGAAUAAAGGAGGUGGAAAAGAAAAACAAAAAGCUACUCCCAGUCUUCACCCUAAUCGCUGACCUUUCUGAUCAUGAAUGGCGAGAGACUUUGUAAAGGUGGUCUGCAGACUGUUUCCAAGUUUAUACUCGGGGUGAGAGACUUUGUAAAGGUGGCCUACAGACUGUUUCCAAGUUUUAAUCUCUUAAAGGGUUAUUUCAGGCUUGAAUCAAAUUUUCCCCAUGUUUUACUUACCCUCAAGGCAUCCUAAGUGAAUGUAACUUUCUUCUUGAGGAAUAAUGGAGUCAGAGUAAUAAUACCACGUAUCCUUUUACUUCCAAGCAGUAGAAUGGGAGUGAAUGGGGGGCAAUUUUUUAAAUCUCCAAAAAGUGCAUCCAUUGAUCAAAGAGCGGCUCGACACGGCUCCGUGGUCUUAACAAAGGUCUUCUGAAGCGAAUCCAUGCGUUUGUUUAAGAGAAAUAUACAUAUUGACAACGCUAUAAAGGAUAAUGUCCAACAUCCGCUGCAGGCGAGCGAGAGGCUUGUUUCUCCGGCAAAUGACGCAGAGUCUUCACCCUAAGUAAGUUCCUGUGACGAACACAGCAUUUUUCGUUUUCGCCAAUAUAAACACCGCCUCUUCUGGGCGGGAGCUUUCGUCGCCAUCAUUUAACGGAAAAACAAGCCUCUCUUUCGCCUGCAGAGGAUGUUAGACAUUAUCCUUAAU